rnacentral:rRNA from 1 species
AUGAACGCUGGCGGCGUGCCUAAUACAUGCAAGUCGAGCGAACAGACGAGGAGCUUGCUCCUUUGACGUUAGCGGCGGACGGGUGAGUAACACGUGGAUAACCUACCUAUAAGACUGGAUAACUUCGGGAAAACGGAGCUAAUAACGGAUAACAUGUUGAACCGCAUGGGUUAACAGGGAAAGACGGGUUUGCUGUCAACUAUAGAUGGAUCCGCGCCGCAUUAGCUAGUUGGUAAGGUAACGGCUUACCAAGGCAACGAUGCGUAGCCGACCUUAGAGGGUGAUCGGCCACACUGGAACUGAGACACGGUCCAGACUCCUACGGGAGGCAGCAGUAGGGAAUCUUCCGCAAUGGGCGAAAGCCUGACGGAGCAACGCCGCGUGAGUGAAGAAGGUCUUCGGAUCGUAAAACUCUGUUAUUAGGGAAGAACAAAUGUGUAAGUAACUAUGCACGUCUUGACGGUACCUAAUCAGAAAGCCACGGCUAACUACGUG